CGGGUGAGUAAUACAUCGGAACGUGCCCGAGAGUGGGGGAUAACGAAGCGAAAGCUUUGCUAAUACCGCAUACGAUCUCAGGAUGAAAGCAGGGGACCGCAAGGCCUUGCGCUCACGGAGCGGCCGAUGGCAGAUUAGGUAGUUGGUGGGAUAAAAGCUUACCAAGCCGACGAUCUGUAGCUGGUCUGAGAGGACGACCAGCCACACUGGGACUGGGACACGGCCCAG
rnacentral:rRNA from 1 species